rnacentral:rRNA from 1 species
CCCGGAAUACGGCAGCAGCCGCGUAAUAGUAGGGUGCAAGCUUAAUGGAAUUACUGGGGUAAAGCGUGCGCAGGCGGUUUGUUAAGACCGAUGUGAAAUCCCCGGGCUCAACCUGGGAACUGCAUUGGUGACUGGCAGGCUAGAGUAUGGCAGAGGGGGGUAGAAUUCCACGUGUAGCAGUGAAAGCGUAGAGAUGUGGAGGAAUACCGAUGGCGAAGGCAGCCCCCUGGGCCAAAAAAAAAAAAAAAUGCACGAAAGCGUGGGGAGCAAACAGGAUUAGAUACCCUGGUAGUCCACGCCCUAAACGAUGUCAACUAGUUGUUGGGGAUUCAUUUCCUUAGUAACGUAGCUAACGCGUGAAGUUGACCGCCUGGGGAGUACGGUCGCAAGAUUAAAACUCAAAGGAAUUGACGGGGACCCGCACAAGCGGGAGAUGUGGAUUAAUUCGAUGCAACGCGAAAAA